rnacentral:rRNA from 1 species
AGUGAACGCUGGCGGUAGGCCUAACACAUGCAAGUCGAACGGCAGCACAGUAAGAGCUUGCUCUUACGGGUGGCGAGUGGCGGACGGGUGAGGAAUACAUCGGAAUCUACUUUUUCGUGGGGGAUAACGCAGGGAAACUUACGCUAAUACCGCAUACGACCUACGGGUGAAAGCAGGGGAUCUUCGGACCUUGCGCGAUUGAAUGAGCCGAUGUCGGAUUAGCUAGUUGGCGGGGUAAAGGCCCACCAAGGCGACGAUCCGUAGCUGGUCUGAGAGGAUGAUCAGCCACACUGGAACUGAGACGCGGUCCAGACUCCUACGGGAGGCAGCAGUGGGGAAUAUUGGACAAUGGGCGCAAGCCUGAUCCAGCCAUACCGCGUGGGUGAAGAAGGCCUUCGGGUUGUAAAGCCCUUUUGUUGGGAAAGAAAAGCAGCAGGUUAAUACCCCGCUGUUCUGACGGUACCCAAAGAAUAAGCACCGGCUAACUUCGUG